UCCAACCUCCGUCAAGACAUAUCAAUUGGUGCUUUCAUUGAGAGUCAAAGCUACUGAGCUCUCAGGAUUAUCGUGGCUGCCGUCUUCGAAAUCGAAGGAGGAGUAACACAUGGACAAGGAGAGAGGUGAACAACAGCUAAGGCUCUUCAAUCGUGCUGGCGAUCAAGGGAAAGUCGUAGCUGAAGAUCUGUUGCGGGCAAGUUGGGAAAAUAACGACCAUAUUGGACUUGAUGAUCGUCCUGCUUGGAUGUUCUUACCUCGACUCUGAAUCUUAGUACGUCGGCAAGGAAACGGGUAUGAGCUUGGCCUAGGCUAGCGAAAGAUUAUAUAUUGAUAAGAUUAUCUAUUAUUACUCGGGUAGUUGUGUAACAUUCUUCUUCCGAAAAUAAGAUACUAAAUGUAAUAUAAUAAUUCAGACCAUCAUAUUAAGGAUAAUCUGUACUUAUAUUUAUCUAAGGAAAAUUACGUUUUAUAA